rnacentral:rRNA from 1 species
UCUGGAGUCGAUAGCGUUGGGGUCCCACCUGUUCCCAUUCCGAACACAGAAGUUAAGCCCAAUUGCGCCGAUGAUACUCGGGUGUGAAGCCCCGGAAAAGUAGGACAACUCCAGAU